UCCGGUUUGUCACCGGCAGUCACCUUAGAGUGCCCAACUCAAUGCUGGCAACUAAGAUCAAGGGUUGCGCUCGUUGCGGGACUUAACCCAACAUCUCACGACACGAGCUGACGACAACCAUGCACCACCUGUCACUUUGCCCCCGAAGGGGAAGCCCAAUCUCUUGGGUGGUCAAAGGAUGUCAAGACCUGGUAAGGUUCUUCGCGUUGCUUCGAAUUAAACCACAUGCUCCACUGCUUGUGCGGGUCCCCGUCAAUUCCUUUGAGUUUUAGCCUUGCGGCCGUACUCCCCAGGCGGAGUGCUUAAUGCGUUAGCUGCGGCACAGAACGGGUUGAAGACCACCCCACACCUAGCACUCAACGUUUACGGCUGGGACUAC
rnacentral:misc_RNA from 1 species